UGGAAUUUCAGUAAUGGUCUCUCAGUUUCUUAGCCAUGUGACCUCAGGGAGCUCGUUGAGGCUGUUUCCUCGUCUGCGAAAUAAGGUACUACAAUCGGCUUUACGGCGUCACGCAGCAAGAGCAGAGGUAACAUUUAGGGCCGUCAUUAACGCUAUGGCAGGAGCGCGGAUGAUUCCAGCCCAGGGCCCGGCAGAGAGGGCGCUCUGUAGCACAGUGAGGUCUGAGAGUCCGCGUCUUGGCAUCUAAUUGAAUGUCUACUACGAUGUGGGUGGGUUCCAGCUCUCUCAGAAGCAGAUCCUGAGAGAAGGACUGAAGUGCAAGCAGCUAUGUGGGAGGUGAUCCCAGGAAACGCCUGUAGGGGAGAGGAAAAUGGAGCCGCCCAAGUCCCUGCAGGGACUUCACUGAGAAAUAAAUGACUGAGGCUUCCGCUGUGGACAACCGGGCUCAAGCCUGUUGGGACCUUCACGUCGACUGCUUGGCUGUGAUGUUUGGAGCUGGCACAGUCAUCUUGUCUCCUUGAAGCAUAACAUCAUCAACAUGCUGAGGAUGGAAGAGCAGAGAGCUGAAAGGAGCCGGGGCCCUGGUGAGCAUGUUUAAUUAGCAGAUCCCAACGGCAGAACCUAAGACACCAGAGGAAAAGUUCUCCCUCUUCUACAGUUCCUUGCUGCCCAAGCCAUCUUAUUUAAUAGGCAUACAAAGAAUCAGAAAUAAGAAUACCAUAAGACAUCUCAACAGCAAUAUGGAAAGUUAGAAUAUAGCAAAAUAUAUCUUCAAAGCUCAAAAAGACUACCAAUCACCAGUUGUGGGUAAGAGUCCUCAUUUCCCUCUGUCUUCAUCAGUGGCAGCUCAUUCUUUUAUUUGAAUUUGCUUAUACCCAGUGAGACUGAGCAUUUUAUCACAGACACAUUGACCUAGUGGAUUUCUUCUAGAAACUGUCCAUUCAUUUGAUUUGAAUUUCGUGUCUCUUUUCUUAAUAUGCAAAGCUUCUUUUGUAUUCUGAUACUACUCCUUUGUUUUCUAUGCUGCAAAUAACUUCUCCCAGUUUGUGAUUUGGACAGAUGAGGGUUUGGAUUCCAGACAUCCCAUCUUUGAGAAUGAACACACCACUAAUCUUAGGCAAGCUACUCAACCUUGUUCUCCACUGUGGACAAUCAAGUGAUAUAACCCAACUCACAGGAUUGUUUGGGUCAUUAAGUGAAAUAAAGUGUGUCAACUCCCCA